CCUACGGGAGGCAGCAGUAGGGAAUAUUGCUCAAUGGGGGAAACCCUGAAGCAGCAACGCCGCGUGGGGAUGAAGGUUCUCGGAUUGUAAACUCCUUUUGUUAGAGAAGAUAAUGACGGUAUCUAACGAAUAAGCACCGGCUAACUCCGUGCCAGCAGCCGCGGUAAUACGGAGGGUGCAAGCGUUACUCGGAAUCACUGGGCGUAAAGAGCGCGUAGGCGGGGUAGCAAGUCAGAUGUGAAAUCCUAUGGCUUAACCAUAGAACUGCAUUUGAAACUGUUAUUCUAGAGUAGGGGAGAGGUAGGUGGAAUUCUUGGUGUAGGGGUGAAAUCCGUAGAGAUCAGGAGGAAUACUCAUUGCGAAGGCGACCUGCUGGAACGUAACUGACGCUGAGGCGCGAAAGCGUGGGGAGCAAACAGGAUUAGAUACCCUAGUAGUC
rnacentral:rRNA from 1 species